rfam:Beggiatoa sp. PS contig24656_5154-5156, whole genome shotgun sequence.
UAAGUCCCCGUCGGGUAAGGUCUAACCAACCAUCCGUAUCAAGUGUUGCGUGUUUGUAGGUAACGAAUGACACGAAGCGCACAGAGAAACUAAUAGACCACAAAGGAGGAUCGCAACUCCUUGAAGCUUGACAUAGCAUCAUUAACUAAUAGUGCAGAUGGCGACGUUUUUGAAAAGACGGAAGCCUACAUAAUACAGUCAUCAUGGUGAGACUGUUGAGGGUCUGCUGGUGUCCACUAAGAGCG